GGUGAACGCUGGCGGUAGGCCUAACACAUGCAAGUCGAACGGCAGCACAGUAAGAGCUUGCUCUUACGGGUGGCGAGUGGCGGACGGGUGAGGAAUACAUCGGAAUCUACUUUUUCGUGGGGGAUAACGUAGGGAAACUUACGCUAAUACCGCAUACGACCUACGGGUGAAAGCAGGGGAUCUUCGGACCUUGCGCGAUUGAAUGAGCCGAUGUCGGAUUAGCUAGUUGGCGGGGUAAAGGCCCACCAAGGCGACGAUCCGUAGCUGGUCUGAGAGGAUGAUCAGCCACACUGGAACUGAGACGCGGUCCAGACUCCUACGGGAGGCAGCAGUGGGGAAUAUUGGACAAUGGGCGCAAGCCUGAUCCAGCCAUACCGCGUGGGUGAAGAAGGCCUUCGGGUUGUAAAGCCCUUUUGUUGGGAAAGAAAAGCAGCAGGUUAAUACCCCGCUGUUCUGACGGUACCCAAAGAAUAAGCACCGGCUAACUUCGUG
rnacentral:rRNA from 1 species